rnacentral:rRNA from 1 species
CACGUAGGGGGCAAGCGUUGUCCGGAUUUAUUGGGCGUAAAGAGCUCGUAGGCGGCUUAGUAAGUCGGGUGUGAAACCUCCAGGCUCAACCUGGAGACGCCACCCCGAUACUGCUGUGGCUAGAGUCCGGUAGGGGAGCGUGGAAUUCCUGGUGUAGCGGUGAAAUGCGCAGAUAUCAGGAGGAACACCAGCGGCGAAGGCGGCGCUCUGGGCCGGUACUGACGCUGAGGAGCGAAAGCGUGGGGAGCAAACAGG